rnacentral:rRNA from 1 species
GACGAACGCUGGCGGCGUGCCUAAUACAUGCAAGUAGAACGCAGUUGCGAACGGGUGAGUAACGCGUAUGUAACUGCCUCAUAGCGGGGGAUUAAUAUUGGGAACGGUAGCUAAUACCGCAUACUGUUAGCUAGACCUGCGUUGUAUUAUGUAGUUGGGGAGGUAAAGGCUCACCAAGGCCACGAGACAUAGCCGACCUUGGAGGGAGGUCGGGCACAAUGGGACUGAGAAACGGCCCCGACUCCUACGGGAGGCAGCAGUAGGGAAUCUUCGGAAAUGGACGGAAGUCUGACCGAGGAAAGCCGCGGGAGUGAAGAAGGUUUUCGGAUCGUAAAGCUCUGUUGUUAGAGAAGCGGUACCUAAACAGAAAGGGACGGCUAACUACGUGCCAGCAGCCGCGGUAAUAC